rnacentral:rRNA from 1 species
UACGAAGGUGGCAAGCGUUGUUCGGAUUCACUGGGCGUACAGGGUGUGUAGGCGGUUUGGUAAGCCUUCUGUUAAAGCUUCGGGCCCAACCCGGAAAGCGCAGAGGGUACUGCCAGGCUAGAGGACGGGAGAGGAGCGCGGAAUUCCCGGUGUAGCGGUGAAAUGCGUAGAGAUCGGGAGGAAGGCCGGUGGCGAAAGCGGCUCACUGGACCAUAACUGACGCUGAUGCACGAAAGCUAGGGGAGCAAACAGG